GUGAACGCUGGCGGUAGGCCUAACACAUGCAAGUCGAACGGCAGCACAGUAAGAGCUUGCUCUUACGGGUGGCGAGUGGCGGACGGGUGAGGAAUACAUCGGAAUCUACUUUUUCGUGGGGGAUAACGUAGGGAAACUUACGCUAAUACCGCAUACGACCUACGGGUGAAAGCAGGGGAUCUUCGGACCUUGCGCGAUUGAAUGAGCCGAUGUCGGAUUAGCUAGUUGGCGGGGUAAAGGCCCACCAAGGCGACGAUCCGUAGCUGGUCUGAGAGGAUGAUCAGCCACACUGGAACUGAGACACGGUCCAGACUCCUACGGGAGGCAGCAGUGGGGAAUAUUGGGCAAUGGGCGCAAGCCUGAUCCAGCCAUACCGCGUGGGUGAAGAAGGCCUUCGGGUUGUAAAGCCCUUUUGUUGGGAAAGAAAAGCAGCAGGUUAAUACCCCGCUGUUCUGACGGUACCCAAAGAAUAAGCACCGGCUAACUUCGUG
rnacentral:rRNA from 1 species